CUAUACAUUACUCAUUGCUUACCACGAUAAGUGUAGUCACCAUCUGUCAUCAAAUAAGAUACCUCACAAGCAACUGGAUAUCAUCACAGUUGCCCAUGGGAUGUCUCCUGUGAUUGUCACUCUGCUGGUGCUGCUCAUUGUGAUCACUGCCCUUACCUUGUAUCUGACAGUAAAGUGCAUCUACCUGGCUUCUACAAAAGAAAAAUGGCUCUGACAUGAAGGGAAGUUCAUUGGAAUUUGGGGGCUCAAAUUCCAUAGCUUUGUCUGUGUCUGUCCAAUGUUUCUCUUUUUACUGCACAGUCUCUGCUUCUCCAUCAAUGCCCUUAACUUAGCAUGAGACAUUUAGAAAUGUUAAGCACUUAAUUGGUACUGGAUCCCUGCCUUCAUUAGAGUCAAGCUGUGGGCUUGAUUUUUGCCAUAUUUUCCCUGACUUUAGGAGAUAAGGAGUUCCUUGAAAGCUAACAUAGGAGCUUUCUCAGUUUCCAUUGAUGUUCUGAAUUAGCAUUGGGUCAACCGAAAAGUCAACAGACCACCCAGCCUUUGUAUUCAUUAUUAUUGCCACAGUGACUAGUUAACAAAGACAGUUUAUUUCCAAACACCUUACUUUCCAUAUCAACCUCAUCCCAUGCCACUGGUAAUAACUUGAAUUACGAUAAUGCCAUCACAUGACUCAGAUUACUAUGUUACAUUUCUGUCUAGUGAGCAGUGCUCACUAGUGCUCUUUAGUUAUGUGAGAACGUCAAUUUCAGAAUCCCAAUUCGAAGUUAUGUUUCCUGGUACCAUUAUGCUAUCAAACACUGUAGCAAUCAAAGUAUCAGCAAAAAGAAGGCAUUCUAAAGUGGUAAUGUGGAGAGCUAAAUAAAAGGAUAAUUUACAACAUGUAAUUAAAGGUUUAAGGGAAACCAAAUGACUGGUGAAAAAUUGUAGGAAUAACAUAAAAGGUAGUUGUUGCCACCACAGUCUAAUGAUGUAAGGGGAAAUAGAAACUAACAGAACCACGCAAAGCCCUAAAAGAGGAUCAUCUAACAAGAAUUCUCACCUUCAGCAACCUAGUAGGAGUGAAAGUAGAAGAAUAAAUACCUUAAUAUCACUCUCUUCCUACCCUCCAGUCUCUUGCUGGUGUCUCCCAUGAAGACCUAAAAUCCAGAGAGCAAGGGUUCCAAUUGACUUAAUCCAAAUAACUCACCCUUCUCAAAUACAGAGCAGGGUGGUGAAUGGUGCAGAAAUGGGUGCAGAGGAGCAAAUGAAAAGUAUCCAGUAAAGUGUUACAUGCUCUUAUAGAUAUCUAAGAAGGCACCCUGAACCAAACUGGCCCAGUGUGGACCUAGCCUCAGGAUAAGGGAUAAUAGAAAAUAGCAAAAUUUUAAGAUAUUUUGGGUAAAGAUAUAAAAGUAGAAGGAUAUAUAAGCUUCCCUUUCUGGUUGAAACUCAGGAAGAUGCUGAGCCUCAAAGAGAAGCCUCUUAAACCAACAUGGUAUAAUGGCAUAUUAGAAAUUGUGACACAGCUAUUUCAUAUGGAGAUAAUCUGAGACAGCCCCCUAAAUGUCACAACUCAAGUCUGUCACACCAACAGAAAAAGGAGGAAGUGCAACCGAAAUGUUUCUAUAUUCACCACCCUCCUUGAGAAGAUUGUGGGAAGUCUGAGAUGGCUGAAAGAAAUGAAAAAGCCCUCCAAAUAAUCACAAGUGUCCACAGCCAACCAAUAAAAGCCACAAUGAGACCUUAAAUGUGGCCUCAGAUGCCAGUGGGACCAAGUGCUAAGAAUCAAAGACCUGAUGCACUCUGUCUCAGUUGGGCAGCAUAGAAGAGAAGAUAAGCCACACCCCUCAAUGACAAAUUGUUCCAUAAACCACAGUGGGAAGAAGAGUCUUUGGUCUACUCUGCUUUGAUGGAGUACAAUUGAAAUGAAAAAUAUUGGAAUGUCAGCUAACUUGAAAUUAGUUAGAUUCAGUUAUUAACCAUCAAUAAAAAUCGGUGUCCAAAGUA